AGUGGCAGGAGAAAGGAUGUCUGAGGCAAAUGGAACUUGUAUGAGUAAUUCAAGCAUUGGAACCCAAACAAAUAAAAGCUUACAUAUAAGCGAAGCAAUACGGAUGAAAAUUGAAGUGCAUACAAGGCUACAUGAACAGCUUGAGGAUAUACAAAGGAUAGAAGCAGUGUCGUGGACAUAGGACUCAAUGUUCACACAGCACUAGUUGAGAUACGAGAAAAGAUUUCCAUUCCCGAAGCACAAUGGCCUCAAGUGAUUAGUGAGCUUUGUGCUCUGAAUCAUAUAGAGAAAGCUGCUGUUCUUAGUACUUGUAACAGGGUACAAGGCAGUUUCUUUUUACCGCUUUAAUUUAAGGGUAAAUUAUACUGACACUCCCUGAGGUUUAUGUUUAUUAU